rnacentral:rRNA from 1 species
GGAGGGUGCAAGCGUUAAUCGGAAUUACUGGGCGUAAAGCGCACGCAGGCGGUUUGUUAAGUCAGAUGUGAAAUCCCCGAGCUUAACUUGGGAACUGCAUUUGAAACUGGCAAGCUAGAGNNNNNNNNNGGGGGGUAGAAUUCCAGGUGUAGCGGUGAAAUGCGUAGAGAUCUGGAGGAAUACCGGUGGCGAAGGCGGCCCCCUGGACAAAGACUGACGGUCAGGUGCGAAAGCGUGGGGAGCAAACAGGAUUAGAUACCCUGGUAGUCCACGCUGUAAACGAUGUCGAUUUGGAGGUUGUGGGCUUGACCCGUGGCUUCCGGASUAACGCGUUAAAUCGACCGCC